rnacentral:rRNA from 1 species
GAUGAACGCUGGCGGCGUGCCUAAUACAUGCAAGUCGAGCGAACAGACGAGGAGCUUGCUCCUCUGACGUUAGCGGCGGACGGGUGAGUAACACGUGGAUAACCUACCUAUAAGACUGGGAUAACUUCGGGAAACCGGAGCUAAUACCGGAUAAUAUAUUGAACCGCAUGGUUCAAUAGUGAAAGACGGUUUUGCUGUCACUUAUAGAUGGAUCCGCGCCGCAUUAGCUAGUUGGUAAGGUAACGGCUUACCAAGGCAACGAUGCGUAGCCGACCUGAGAGGGUGAUCGGCCACACUGGAACUGAGACACGGUCCAGACUCCUACGAGAGGCAGCAGUAGGGAAUCUUCCGCAAUGGGCGAAAGCCUGACGGAGCAACGCCGCGUGAGUGAUGAAGGCCUUCGGAUCGUAAAACUCUGUUAUUAGGGAAGAACAAAUGUGUAAGUAACUAUGCACGUCUUGACGGUACCUAAUCAGAAAGCCACGGCUAACUACGUG